rnacentral:lncRNA from 1 species
GCUGUAUCUACGUUAUUAGCUACUGCCCAUUUGACCCGGUUCUGCCAGAGUCGAUCAAGACUGAACGGUUUUCCAAAAUGAAGAGAAAUAAGUGUAUUCACAUAACAACGUCAGAGAGAGAGCAGCCUCAGAACCUUUGCUGGUUUUCCCUCCUCUUGGUUGUGAUUCUAAACGUCUUGGCCCAUUUGAUUUAUGAGGCCACGAGGAGCCGGCUCAGGGUCAUAAACUCAGUUUAGGCCAAGCACAAGGAGUCAUUAGCCGGCGAGAAGCUUGGGUCCAGAUCCGGGGUUUGACGUCUCUGGUGGUUUAUAACAGGAGUAGUGUUGUGGUUCCUCUCAAGCCUCGUGUGGUGUCGGUCCGUCAAUCACCAGCAGCCCAUGAGGCCGUGAUCAGCAGAAGCUGUCGUGGAUCACACGUAGAGUCCGACUGUUCCAGGCCAUUUGUGGAACCAGCUGAUGAGUGAAGGCGCUCAGGAGCAGCUCCACAUUUGCUCCGGUUGUGAUGAUCAGGGACCACGUCUCACAGGCUGGAGCUAAGAUCGGCUUCACCUGCAGAAAAAACUGAAGCGGCAGCAGGUGUUCAGGUAUGUGGCUGCUCAGGUUGCCCGCUGGUUCUGUUGGUUCUGCCCAUUUAAACACUGUUUAACUCUUUGACCUGAACACAAGAUGAGUGACCUUCCAGAUCUAUGAAAACCAGCGGGAUCCACGGUCAUAGUCGCUGGAUCAGCACCAUGUGAUCUAGUGCAGGGUGAAGCAGCUGAUGAGGACCUGACCGCUCCAGUAAAGUCCGCCGAUGACACGUGAUGUGGGUUCUGUCACCUCAGCACUUGAAGAAGCACCACGCUGUCACAUCUGCGCAGCAGCAACACUGUGGCUCCAGGACGUGGCGCUUCCGUGGCUCAAGCCAACGCGUCGGGCACCAACACAUUUUCCAUCUGACCUCACAGACGCCGUGUGGCUGCACGGCGGAGCAGCACCGCUGAUCCCUGACUGUCCAAACAGCCUGCGCACACGUCUCCGUCACGGCUAUUCUUGUCUUGGGCCGGACAGAGCGGCCAGCAGCGCCGUCCAACGCAAGACAACACCAAAUAACUGCUUCAGCUGCUAUACUUGUCUCAUUGUGUAGCGACUCAGCCCAGAAUGGAUCUCAGCAGCUAUAACCACUAAUGUGAGCGGCUGGAGGAACCGCCUGGACACAGGCGACGGCCUACGGCGGGUGGUCGGCGCUAUCAUUGCAGGAGUACAGGGGUGGAAAGGGAUCUAAUGGUAGCUCAGAUGGCAGGUCUCGGUUGUGGAGGAAGAUCCACUGCGGCGGGGGAGCCGAUGGAGAGGUGGAGGAGGCAGAGAUGGAGGAGGGAGGAGGCAGAGAUGGAGGAGGCAGAGAUGGAGGAGGCAGAGAUGGAGGAGGUGGGGGAGGCGGAGGUGGAGGACGCCGAGAUGGAGGAGGCGGAGAAGGCGUAGGUCGAGGGGGCAGAGAUGGAGGAGGCGGAGGUGGAGGAGGCAGAGAUGGAGGAGGCAGAGAUGGAGGAGGCAGAGAUGGAUGAGGUGGAGGAGGCAGAGAUGGAGGAGGUGGAGGAGGCAGAGAUGGAGGAGGUGGAGGAGGCAGAGAUGGAGGAGGCAGAGAUGGAGGAGGCAGAGAUGGAGGAGGUGGAGGAGGCAGAGAUGGAGGAGGUGGAGGAGGCAGAGAUGGAGGAGGUGGAGGACGCCGAGAUGGAGGAG